rnacentral:rRNA from 1 species
GUAGGUGGGUUUGUAAGUCAGAUGUGAAAGCCUUCUGUUCAACGGAAGAAUUGCAUCUGAAACUACAAACCUUGAGUAUAGGAGGGGAGAGUGGAACUUCUGGUGGAGCGGUGAAAUGCGUAGAUAUCAGAAGGAACGCCGGCGGCGAAAGCGACUCUCUGGCCUAUUACUGACACUGAGUGUGCGAAAGCUAGGGGAGCAAACGGGAUUAGAUACCCCGGUAGUCCUAGCCGUAAACGAUGGGCACUAAGUAG